ACACCCCUGUGAUGUUCAGCACUGGGCUCUGAUAGCAAACUGAGGACAUUGUGCCUCCCGGGACCUUUGACACCUGGGCCCUGAGGGGCCC